UCUGGCCUGCUCACUGAUAAAAUUAUUAAAGAGCUGCGGUAUAUUGACUGUACAAAGGUAGCAUAAUCAUUAGUUUUUUAAUUGAAAACUUGUAUGAAUGGUUUGACAAAAUAAAUAUUGUCUCUUUUAUUAAAAUAAAACUUAACUUUUAAGUGAAAAGGCUUAAAUUACUACAAAGGGACGAUAAGACCCUAUAAAGCUUUAUAUUUAUAUUUUAUUUUAAAAAAUUAAUUUAAUUGUAAGAUUUAAAAUAUUUUAAUUAACUGGGGCGGUGCGUAAAUAAUUAUUUUAACUUUGUGAAAUUGAAACAUUUAUAUAUGAUAAAUUAAUUGAUCCUUAUUAAAGAUUAAAGUAAAGUUACUUUAGGGAUAACAGCGUUAUUUUUUUUGAGAGUUCAUAUCGAAAAAAAAGAUUGCGACCUCGAUGUUGAAUUAAAAGUUCUGUUUAGUGUAGCCGUUAAAUUAGAAGGUCUGUUCGACCUUUAAAUUUUUACGUGAUCUGA
rnacentral:rRNA from 1 species